GAUGAACGCUGGCGGCGUGCUUAACACAUGCAAGUCGAACGGAAAGGCAGUGCUUGCACUGGUACUCGAGUGGCGAACGGGUGAGUAACACGUGGGUGAUCUGCCCUGUACUUCGGGAUAAGCUUGGGAAACUGGGUCUAAUACCGGAUAGGACAACUUUUUGGAUAUUGUUGUGGAAAGCUUUUGCGGUAUGGGAUGAGCUCGCGGCCUAUCAGCUUGUUGGUGGGGUAAUGGCCUACCAAGGCGUCGACGGGUAGCCGGCCUGAGAGGGUGUACGGCCACAUUGGGACUGAGAUACGGCCCAGACUCCUACGGGAGGCAGCAGUGGGGAAUAUUGCACAAUGGGCGCAAGCCUGAUGCAGCGACGCCGCGUGGGGGAUGAAGGCCUUCGGGUUGUAAACUCCUUUCGCUAGGGACGAAGCGCAAGUGACGGUACCUGGAGAAGAAGCACCGGCUAACUACGUG
rnacentral:rRNA from 1 species